AGUGAACGCUGGCGGCAGGCCUAACACAUGCAAGUCGAGCGGCAGCACAGUGAGAGCUUGCCCCUACCGGUGGCGACGGGCGGGUGGGUGACGCAUACAUCGCCAUCUACUUAUUCGUGGGUAACUACGUAGGGCCACUUACGAUAACACAGCAUAUGACCUACGGGUGGAAGCAGGGGAUCUUCGCAGCUUGCCUGAUUCUAUGAGCCGAUGUCGGAUUAGCUAGUUGGCGGGGUAAAGGCCUACCAAGGCGACGAUACGUAGCUGGUCUGAGAGGAUGAUCAGCCACACUGGAACUGAGACACGGUCCAGACUCCUACGGGAGGCAGCAGUAGGGAAUAUUGGGCAAUGGGCGAAAGCCUGAUGCAGCCACGCCGCGUGAGUGAAGAAGGCCUUCGGAUUGUAAAGCUCUUUUAUUGGGGAAGAAAAGCAGUAUGUUAAUACCUGGCUGUUCUGACGGUACCCAAAGAAUAAGCACCGGCUAACUUCGUG
rnacentral:rRNA from 1 species